rnacentral:lncRNA from 1 species
CAACUAACAAGAAAAUAAUCAAUCACAUACUGAUUUUAGAUCUGAAAAUAUCAAAUAAAAUACAGACAAAUUGAAACUUAAACCAACUAACCGGAUCAAAAUCAUGACGAACUCGAAUGGAAACAAAUCACCAAACUUUUGAAACCCAAAAUAAACUCGAAUCUACCCGGAAGACUAAACCACGAACAACGGCGAUCUUGAGAAACCUUCAUCUCUCUCGAAACGGAACAGAAUAAAAAAAACUUAAAAUGAUUCUGCCCGGAAUCUUCAGGCAAGUACAGAGAUGAAAAGAAAAUCAAACCGACUCAAUUACAUUGCAAAUCGACUCAGACUGAAACAUCGCUUAUGGGAAAUCGUUUGCUCGUUUCUCCUCCAUUUUUUGACUGAAGAUCAGCAUUCCAAUCACUGUCGUUCUCCUCUACUGCAUCUGCAUAUAUGGCUGAAGAAGAAGCAGAAGGGUGGUGAGGGAUUCGUCUGGUCGUUCAUCCUCAUUCAGCCUUCAAAACCUUAAUGAGAAGAAGUCCAUCUUCUUCUUCACAACAAAGGCGUUGAGAGGAGGGUCUGUGUGUGCUUUGUGUUCUAGCAAGAGGGAGAUGAUGGGUGUUUAUGGUCAUUUGGCUUCAGGGGGUGGCGGGGUAUGAAGGAAAUUAAAUUUUGGCGGUGGGGUUCCUUGGUGUUGCGGAUGUCAGCUCUGGUCAUCGUGAAGAAGACGAAGACGAGAGGAUGUGGUCUGUGCGAUGAAGAAAUAAUGGGGCUGGAAUUCGCUGGUUUAGCGAUGAUGGACGAUGCAACACCUGCUACGUCAAUGGCGAUGCGAUGGAGGUUGACGGCUGGUGGUUGAUGACUGAAGGCGGACGUGGACUGUUUUUCGGCGUAGGGGCAGUGGUGUUCGGACGACGG